rnacentral:rRNA from 1 species
UACGUAGGGGGCAAGCGUUGUCCGGAAUCAUUGGGCGUAAAGCGCGUGUAGGCGGCUAGGUAAGUCUGCUCUGAAAGCCCGGGGCUCAACCCCGGGAGGCGGGUGGAUACUGUCUAGCUCGAGUCCGGAAGAGGAGUGUGGAAUUCCUGGUGUAGCGGUGAAAUGCGCAGAUAUCAGGAGGAACACCAGUGGCGAAGGCGGCUUUCUGGACGGUAACUGACGCUGAGACGCGAAAGCGUGGGGAGCAAACAGG